rnacentral:rRNA from 1 species
AUUGAACGCUGGCGGCAUGCCUUACACAUGCAAGUCGAACGGUAACAGGUUAAGCUGACGAGUGGCGAACGGGUGAGUAAUGUAUCGGAACGUGCCCAGUCGUGGGGGAUAACUGCUCGAAAGAGCAGCUAAUACCGCAUACGACCUGAGGGUGAAAGCGGGGGAUCGCAAGACCUCGCGCGAUUGGAGCGGCCGAUAUCAGAUUAGGUAGUUGGUGAGGUAAAGGCUCACCAAGCCGACGAUCUGUAGCUGGUCUGAGAGGACGACCAGCCACACUGGGACUGAGACACGGCCCAGACUCCUACGGGAGGCAGCAGUGGGGAAUUUUGGACAAUGGGCGCAAGCCUGAUCCAGCCAUGCCGCGUGCGGGAAGAAGGCCUUCGGGUUGUAAACCGCUUUUGUCAGGGAAGAAAAGGUUCUGGCUAAUACCUGGGAUUCAUGACGGUACCUGAAGAAUAAGCACCGGCUAACUACGUG